UACGAAGGGGGCCAGCGUUGCUCGGAAUUACUGGGCGUAAAGGGAACGUAGGCGGAUAGUUAAGUCAGAGGUGAAAGCCCAGGGCUCAACCUUGGAAUUGCCUUUGAUACUGGCUAUCUUGAGUAUGGGAGAGGUGUGUGGAACUCCGAGUGUAGAGGUGAAAUUCGUAGAUAUUCGGAAGAACACCAGUGGCGAAGGCGACACACUGGCCCAUUACUGACGCUGAGGCUCGAAAGCGUGGGGAGCAAACAGG
rnacentral:rRNA from 1 species